CUUUGUGAAACCGCUGCUUAAAGGAAACCAUUUAUCAAGCGUUCAGCUCACAGGGAAGGACAGAGAAUGGCAGACAAAAAAAUUUAUAUGAAUGUGAAUAUUGGAAAAGCACCUCUCCAGCCUCCAGCAAAACAUCCUGAGACACCAACUGCGCCAUCUCGCAAGACCUCAGACAUCCUCUGUGCCCUGCCCGUUGUUCUGAGCGUGGCUCUGGGCAUCUCCCUCAUUGCAGUGACCGUCAUGUAUUUCCAGGGACAGAAAAGGCUACGAGAUGUAGAAGAAGCG